rnacentral:rRNA from 1 species
GUGGGGAAUAUUGGUCAAUGGGGGAAACCCUGAACCAGCAACGCCGCGUGAAGGAAGAAGGCUUUCGGGUUGUAAACUUCUUUGACAGGGGACGAAAGCAAUGACGGUACCCUGAAAACAAGCCACGGCUAACUACGUGCCAGCAGCCGCGGUAAUACGUAGGUGGCGAGCGUUGUCCGGAUUUACUGGGUGUAAAGGGCGUGUAGGCGGGGCGGUAAGUCAGAUGUGAAAUGUAGGGGCUCAACCCCUGAAUUGCAUUUGAAACUAUCGUUCUUGAGUGAUGGAGAGGCAGGCGGAAUUCCGUGUGUAGCGGUGAAAUGCGUAGAUAUACGGAGGAACACCAGUGGCGAAGGCGGCCUGCUGGACAUUAACUGACGCUGAGGCGCGAAAGCGUGGGGAGCAAACAGGAUUAGAAACCCCGGUAGUCC